rnacentral:rRNA from 1 species
UGAGGAAUAUUGGUCAAUGGGCGAAAGCCUGAACCAGCAACGCCGCGUGAGGGAUGAAGGCCUUCGGGUCGUAAACCUCUUUUCUGGGAGAAGAGACAAGGACGGUAUCCCAGGAAUAAGUCUCGGCUAACUACGUGCCAGCAGCCGCGGUAAAACGUAGGAGGCAAGCGUUAUCCGGAUUUACUGGGCGUAAAGCGCACGCAGGCGGCGGCGUAAGUCGGACGUGAAAGCUCCUGGCUCAACUGGGAGAGGUCGUUCGAAACUGCGCGGCUUGAGGUUGGAAGAGGAGAGCGGAAUUCCCGGUGUAGUGGUGGAAUGCGUAGAUAUCGGGAGGAACACCAGUGGCGAAAGCGGCUCUCUGGUCCACACCUGACGCUCAGGUGCGAAAGCGUGGGUAGCGAACG